rnacentral:lncRNA from 1 species
AUGCUAUCUUGAAAAGAAAAUAAAAAAAUGUUAAAAAUAGUAAGCCCUAUGUGAGUAUGCUCGUGGCAUAAAACCCAUAAGUACAUUCACUGUGGUGGCGUAAAAAUAAAAUAAAUAUAUUCCUGUCCUAUAGAAAUGAAAAUAUAAAAUAAAUUUAUAAUCCUACCAAAGAGAGUAAUAUCUAUUAGAGGAAGCUCAACAUGAUAACGGCUAAGAGAUUUUAUGCUAACACUUAACCAGUUCCACAAAGCUUUCUUGUCUAUUUGAGCUCCGCAGAAUCCAAGGAUCAAAGAAGACUAGCAGACGGAGGACAUCCUAAUCGCUGUCUAGGUGCUGCCGACAUUCAAAUACACCUCCGCCACCUGCUAGCUACAUCAGAAGAAAUUACGUCAAAAUCCAGCUUGGGGGAGAGCACCCCCAUUUAUCCAGCUAAGUGUUUCUACUCAUGUUUAUACUUUACU